rnacentral:rRNA from 1 species
GUGUCAGCCGCCGCGGUAAGACGUAGGGGGCGAGCGUUGUCCGGAAUUACUGGGCGUAAAGGGCAUGUAGGCGGAUAAUUAAGUCAGAUGUGAAAGACCGGGGCCCAACCUCGGGGUUGCAUCUGAAACUGGUUAUCUUGAGGGCAGUAGAGGAAAGUGGAAUUCCUGGUGUAGCGGUGAAAUGCGUAGAAAUCAGGAGGAAUACCAGUGGCGAAGGCGACUUUCUGGACUGACCCUGACGCUGAGGUGCGAAAGCGUGGGUAGCAAACAGGAUUAGAUACCCUGGUAGUCCACGCUGUAAACGAUGGAUACUAGGUGUGGGAGGUAUCGACCCCUUCCGUGCCGGAGCUAACGCAAUAAGUAUCCCGCCUGGGGAGUACGGCGGCAACGAUGAAACUUAAAUGAAUUGGCGG